CAACUUGAGAGUUUGAUCCUGGCUCAGAACGAACGCUGGCGGCAGGCUUAACACAUGCAAGUCGAGCGAAGUCUUCGGACUUAGCGGCGGACGGGUGAGUAACGCGUGGGAACGUGCCCUUCGGUACGGAAUAGCCCAGGGAAACUUGGAUUAAUACCGUAUACGCCCUGCGGGGGAAAGAUUUAUCGCCGAGGGAUCGGCCCGCGUCUGAUUAGGUUGUUGGUGGGGUAACGGCCCACCAAGCCGACGAUCAGUAGCUGGUUUGAGAGGAUGAUCAGCCACACUGGGACUGAGACACGG
rnacentral:rRNA from 1 species